AUGUACAUUCCUACAACAUAGUGUUAAUGUACUGGAUCCCAUUAGAACUUCAUAGUUAAGUCACUCGAGAUAGAGUAGUACUAGGAUGAGUGACCUCCCAGGAAGUCCUAGUAUUUUACAUG
rnacentral:rRNA from 1 species